rnacentral:rRNA from 1 species
UACAGAGGGGGCGAGCGUUGCUCGGAAUUACUGGGCGUAAAGGGCGCGUAGGUGGCCUGCUAUGUCGAACGUGAAAGCCCCGGGCUCAACCUGGGAAUGGCCGUUGAAACUGGCGAACUGGAGUGUGGCAGAGGGGGGUGGAAUUCCGCGUGUAGCAGUGAAAUGCGUAGAGAUGCGGAGGAACACCGAUGGCGAAGGCAGCCCCCUGGGCUGACACUGACGCUCAGGCACGAAAGCGUGGGGAGCAAACAGG